ACCGGCAGCUCAAGUGGUGGCCAUUAUUAUUGGGCCUAAAGCGUUCGUAGCCGGUUUGAUAAGUCUCUGGUGAAAUCCCGCAGCUUAACUGUGGGACUUGCUGGAGAUACUAUCAGACUUGAGGUCGGGAGAGGUUAGGGGUACUCCCAGGUGAGGGGUGAAGUCGUACAGUCGUGGGAGGAUGUGACGAGAGGUAGGCGCGCAAUUGGGAUGACCUUGACGUUGAGUAAUGUAAUCUAUUGCCUGUUUAGG
rnacentral:rRNA from 1 species